rnacentral:rRNA from 1 species
AGCGGACGCUGGCGGCAGGCUUAACACAUGCAAGUCGAACGGGCGUAGCAAUACGUCAGUGGCAGACGGGUGAGUAACACGUGGGAACGUACCCUUUGGUUCGGAACAACACAGGGAAACUUGUGCUAAUACCGGAUAAGCCCUUACGGGGAAAGAUUUAUCGCCGAAGGAUCGGCCCGCGUCUGAUUAGCUUGUUGGUGAGGUAAUGGCUCACCAAGGCGACGAUCAGUAGCUGGUCUGAGAGGAUGAUCAGCCACACUGGGACUGAGACACGGCCCAGACUCCUACGGGAGGCAGCAGUGGGGAAUAUUGGACAAUGGGCGCGAGCCUGAUCCAGCCAUGCCGCGUGAGUGAUGAAGGCCCUAGGGUUGUAAAGCUCUUUUGGCGGGGAAGAUAAUGACGGUACCGCAGAAUAAGCCCCGGCUAACUUCGUGCCAGCAGCCGCGGUAAU